UUCUGUUCAAUUCCCAUCAUGUAGUUCCUCACUUCAGUCUUUAUCAUCUCCUGCAUCACCCUCAACAACUCCUGGCUAAAAGGCACAAAUAUCUUGUCUUGCUGUUCGAACGGCACCGCCGUCACUGGCUGAGGCUGCGGUGGUGGAGGUGGAGGCGGCGGUGGUGGUGGAACCUGCACCGGUGGAGGCAGCGACAGUUGAAACGGAUUUUUCGACUGAGUCGACUCGGCCGAACGAGAUGAUAACUCAGCCAAGUCAGCACCGGGAAGCGAAAGGCUAAGAGAAGUUGGAGGAUCAAUUGAUGGAGAUGAGAUAUCAAUCGACGGCGGCGGAAAA
rnacentral:lncRNA from 1 species